rnacentral:rRNA from 1 species
UUAUGUUGUUUAAUUCGACGCAACGCGAAGAACCUUACCAGGCCUUGACAUACUCGGCAAAGCUCGUAGAGAUAGAGUGGAGGUUAUCCGGGAUACAGGUGGUGCAUGGUUGUCGUCAGCUCGUGUCGUGAGAUGUUGGGUUAAGUUCCGCAACGAGCGCAACCCUUGUCACUAGUUGCCAUCAUUAUUGGGCACUCUAAGGAGACUGCCGGUGACAAACCGGAGGAAGGUGGGGAUGACGUCAAGUCAUCAUGGCCCUUACGGCCAGGGCUACACACGUGCUACAAUGGUCGGUACAGAGGGUUGCCAAGCCGCGAGGUGGAGCUAAUCUCACAAAACCGAUCGUAGUCCGGAUCGCAGUCUGCAACUCGACUGCGUGAAGUCGGAAUCGCUAGUAAUCGUGAAUCAGAAUGUCACGGUGAAUUACCGGUUCCCGGGCCUU